rnacentral:rRNA from 1 species
UGGGGAAUUUUGGACAAUGGGCGCAAGCCUGAUCCAGCCAUGCCGCGUGCAGGAUGAAGGCCUUCGGGUUGUAAACUGCUUUUGUACGGAACGAAAAGACUCCUUCUAAUAAAGGGGGUCCAUGACGGUACCGUAAGAAUAAGCACCGGCUAACUACGUGCCAGCAGCCGCGGUAAUACGUAGGGUGCGAGCGCUAAUCGGAAUUACUGGGCGUAAAGCGCGCGUAGGUGGUUAGUUAAGUUGGAUGUGAAAUCCCCGGGCUCAAACUGGGAACUGCAUUCAAAACUGACUGACUAGAGUACGGUAGAGGGGGAUGGAAUUCCGCGUGUAGCAGUGAAAUGCGUAGAUAUGCGGAGGAACACCGAUGGCGAAGGCAAUCCCCUGGACCUGUACUGACGCUCAUGCACGAAAGCGUGGGGAGCAAACA